AUACUUACCUGGCAGGGGUGACACCAUGAUCAAGAAGGUGGUUUGCCCAGGUGAGGCUCUGUCAUUCCCCAAAUGUGGGAAUCUCAACUGCAUAAUUUGUGGUAGUGGGGGACUGCGUUCGCGCUCUCCCCUG
rnacentral:snRNA from 1 species